rnacentral:rRNA from 1 species
CCUACGGGGCGCAGCAGUGGGGAAUAUUUGACAAUGGGCGAAAGCCUGAUCCAGCCAUGCCGCGUGUGUGAAGAAGGCCUUCGGGUUGUAAAGCACUUUCAGUGGGGAAGAAAGCCUUGGGGCUAAUACCCUCGAGGAAGGACAUCACCCACAGAAGAAGCACCGGCUAACUCCGUGCCAGCAGCCGCGGUAAUACGGAGGGUGCGAGCGUUAAUCGGAAUUACUGGGCGUAAAGCGCGCGUAGGCGGUCUGAUAAGCCGGUUGUGAAAGCCCCGGGCUCAACCUGGGAACGGCAUCCGGAACUGUCAGGCUAGAGUGCAGGAGAGGAAGGUAGAAUUCCCGGUGUAGCGGUGAAAUGCGUAGAGAUCGGGAGGAAUACCAGUGGCGAGGGCGGCCUUCUGGACUGACACUGACGCUGAGGUGCGAAAGCGUGGGUAGCAAACAGGAUUAGAUACCCCGGUAGUC